rnacentral:rRNA from 1 species
UGGAGGUAGUCUCUGCUCCAUUAAAAAUAAUUUAAAAUAGCCGCAGUAUCUUAACUGUGCUAAGGUAGCAUAAUAAUUUGCCUUUUAAUUGGGGGCUGGUAUGAACGAGGUAACGACGCUCAAGCUUUCCUUAAAAUCUAGCCUGAGAAAUUGAUACCUGCUUAAAAAAGAGCAGCUUGCCGGGGGGACGACAAGACCCUGUAAAACUUUAUUUUGAACUUUUACCCACAAUUUAGGAGGUUGUUGGCAGGGUAUAAAAUUGAGCUGGGGCGGCAGUUAACUUAAACCUUAAAUAAACUGGAACACGCAUUCGUGGUGAUAUAGAUCUUUAUAAAAAUUAGAACAAGUUACUUCAGGGAUAACAGCACAAUUCUCCCGGAUAGAUCUUAUAGAUGGGAGAGACUUGUGACCUCGAUGUUGAAUUGAAGGGCCCCUUUUGCGCAAAAGCAAAAGAGGGGGGUCUGUUCGACCCUUAAAACUUC